rnacentral:lncRNA from 1 species
AGUCUCUCAUAGAAACUUCUGGCCUCUGGACACUGUGGGAGCAACUUUUCCUUUAUUAGACUGUCUCCUCUUUAACUGUACCUAGAAGAUACUUUAGCACAGCAAGCAUCUCUUUUAUGCUUACAUUAUGCAGUUAUGCAGACUUGGUGUACGUCCUUCAAGGACAGUCUAAGAAUCUUUGAUUCUAUUUCUGCUGGAUACAUUGUUGCAGAGAUGUAAGAAGGAAGGACUUAGAAAAGUAUGCUAUAAGAAUUGAAUGCUCAGAGGCAAGCUAACUUCACAAGGAGAAAAGAAAGAUGGAAACAGCCUAGACAAACUCAAAUCAAGUCCAGGAGACUUACGCUAGAGUUGCUUUUUCUAAUAGAAGAGACCAGUGUGCAAUUGUGAAUUGUGAUGCUGAGGCAAGCCCCAAGGAUGAAGAGAAUUAAAUAGAGGAGGAAGAGAAGAGGUUCUCCCCUCUGUUUCCUGACAUUUUGAUUAAUGUUAUGAGCUAUGUUUACAGUCAAACCCCUUGCCUUCAUCAUUGACCUUUUUGUUCGCUGUAUUCUGUCUUAUCAGGAGAUAGACCAGUGCAAUGGACCUCAUAACCACAUACAAUCUAGUUUUAUGGGGAAACUCCUUGUAUAAAAGAAUAUUGCAGCAUGACUGGGAAGCCUGUCCUUCAUUACUUCAAUUGAAGAAGAAGAAUGGAGUCCAUCCGGUGGCUCCUGGCAGCAGCUGGAGUAGAGUUUGAGGAAGAACUUUUUGAAACCCAUGAAGAGUUUGAGAAGUUAAUCCAAGGUGGAACCCUGAUGAUUGAUAUGUAUGUAGAGGGCUUAAGAGACCUGAGCGACAUGAUAAUGUACUUUCCACUCUCUCUGCCAGAAGAGAAGGAGAUGAACCUUGAAUACAUCCUCCACCGAGCUACAACAAGAUUCUUCCCCGUUUAUGAGAAGGCCCUGAGAGACCACGGGCAAGACUUUCUUGUGGGCAAUCGGCUGAGCUUGGCUGAUGUCCAGCUCCUUGAAGUCAUCUUAAUGGCUGAAGAAUGCAAAGCCAGUGUUCUCUCGGGUUUCCCUCUGCUACAGGACUUCAAGGUGAGAACCAGCCAAAUUCCUACAAUUAACAGCUUCCUCCAACCUGGAAGCCAGAGGAAGCCUCCUUUGGAGGAGCGAUCCAUUGGGACUGCAAAGGACAUAUUCAAAUUUGAAUGAGGACUGUUUCUUAAAAACAUGAGCAAUAUAGUAGCUGAGUAUUAACAGCUACAGAGGCUGGAGUUACUCAGUAAGUAUACUGAGUAACUUGACACUGCAUUCAUAAAAAGACACUCACUAAGUAUAUGGCCAGAGAAAUAUCCUGAAGUUAGUAAUAAAUGUUAGGAAUCUUAGUAUGUUAGCAAUGUUAGAAUGUUAGUAAUGGAAAUAUUAAAUGUGUAAGAGAAAAACUACUAGAAGCUUAUCAAUAAACUACAAGAACCAACUCUUGUUUGAAGUAAGACAGGCUACCAAGACAGAAUUCAGAAAAUCCAAGGAGCCCUCGGCCUUCUGUAUGAUCCUAGAAUAAACUUGUAUGUAGCAAGUGAAA